GCUUAAUGGUCAAUAUAUAGAUAUACAGUUGGAUCGACAAAUUUCGUUUGAUAUUCCUUCUUUUGGAUCACCUGUGAUUAAACGUAACCUUUGCCCUAUUGUUUUGAAUAAUUUUAGAGCUUGGGGUCCAAAUGAUCCACAGGUGUCUUGAGACUAUCAGAACAAAAGAUUAUUAAGAUGGAGGUGACAGAAAAAGAUCUGGCAAAACGAUCUACACAUGUAUUAUCCAAAACGAGGGGUAUAUCUUGGUUCCAAGGGACUAGCGUUGUGAUAAAUUAAUUUUAAAUUAUUUUUAUUUAUUUUAAAUUUUGUUUAAAUAUCUGAUUGUGUUUGCAAAGGAUAUCCAACAAUAAUAUAAUUUCCCGUAGAAAUAUAUUUUUUUUCUUAAAUUGUUACAUUGCUGGGUUUCUAAUUUUGUAACCAAAUUUAUGUAAUAAACCUAUUUUUAAUAUUA